UGCUGACGAGCGGCGGGACGGGUGAGUAAUGCCUAGGAAUCUGCCUAGUAGUGGGGGAUAACUUGCCGAAAAGGUAAGCUAAUACCGCAUACGUCCUACGGGAGAAAGCAGGGGACUCUUUCGGAGCCUUGCGCUAUUAGAUGAGCCUAGGUCGGAUUAGUUAGUUGGUGAGGUAAUGGCUCACCAAGACCGCGAUCCGUAACUGGUCUGAGAGGAUGAUCAGUCACACUGGAACUGAGACACGGUCCAGACUCCUACGGGAGGCAGCAGUGGGGAAUAUUGCACAAUGGGCGCAAGCCUGAUGCAGCCAUGCCGCGUGUGUGAAGAAGGCCUUCGGGUUGUAAAGCACUUUCAGUCAGGAGGAAAGGUUAGUAGUUAAUACCUGCUAGCUGUGACGUUACUGACAGAAGAAGCACCGGCUAACUCCGUGCCAGCAGCCGCGGUAAUACGGAGGGUGCGAGCGUUAAUCGGAAUUACUGGGCGUAAAGCGUACGCAGGCGGUUUGUUAAGCGAGAUGUGAAAGCCCCGGGCUCA
rnacentral:rRNA from 1 species